ACGCUGGCGGCGUGCUUACACAUGCAAGUCGAGCGAUGAAACUACUUCGGUAGUGAAUUAGCGGCGAACGGGUGAGGAACACGUGAGGAAUCUGCCUUCAACACUGGGAUAACUCCGGGAAACCGGGGCUAAUACCGGAUACGAGCCUUGAUCGCAUGAUCGAGGCUGGAAAGUUUUUCGGUUGAAGAUGACCUCGCGGCCUAUCAGCUUGUUGGUGAGGUAAUGGCUCACCAAGGCGACGACGGGUAGCCGGCCUGAGAGGGCGACCGGCCACACUGGGACUGAGACACGGCCCAGACUCCUACGGGAGGCAGCAGUGGGGAAUAUUGGGCAAUGGAGGAAACUCUGACCCAGCGACGCCGCGUGCGGGAUGAAGGCCUUCGGGUUGUAAACCGCUUUCAGUAGGGAAGAAGCGAAAGUGACGGUACCUACAGAAGAAGCACCGGCUAACUAUGUGCCAGCAGCCGCGGUAAUACAUAGGGUGCAAGCGUUGUCCGGAAUUAUUGGGCGUAAAGAGCUCGUAGGUGGUUUGAUACGUCGGGUGUGAAAUUCAGGGGCUCAACCCCUGACCUGCAUUCGAUACGGUCAAGCUAGAGUUUGGUAGGGGAGACUGGAAUUCCUGGUGUAGCGGUGGAAUGCGCAGAUAUCAGGAGGAACACCGAUGGCGAAGGCAGGUCUCUGGGCCAAUACUGACACUGAGGAGCGAAAGCGUGGGGAGCGAACAGGAUUAGAUACCCUGGUAGUCCACGCCGUAAACGGU
rnacentral:rRNA from 1 species